rnacentral:lncRNA from 1 species
AUGGCCUCUGUUUCUGAGCUCGCCUGCAUUCUGCAUAAGGCUCGGCCCUCAUUCUGCAUGAGGGUGAGGUGACCGUCAAGGAGGAUAAGAUCAAUGCCCUCAUUAAAGCAGCUGGUGUAAAUGUUGAACCUUUUUGGACUGGCUUGUUUGCAAAAGCCUUGGCCAAUGUUGACAUGGGGAGCCUCAUCUGCAAUGGAGGAGCUCGUGGACCUGCACCAGCAGAAGGUCCUGCCCCCUCCACCAAUGCUGUUCCAGCUGAGGAGAAGAAAUAGAAGCAAAGAAAAGAGAGUCUGAGGAGUCCAAGGAGGAUAUGGGCUUUGGUCUUUUUGACUAA